rnacentral:misc_RNA from 1 species
UAAGGACUAUAUAUACUAAAAUCAUCAUCUUCAGUUUUGAAAGACUUAAGUAGAAAAUAAGUUUUUCUUUUAAGUACCAAAGGGCCUAUAGCUCAGUUGGUUAGAGCACACGCCUGAUAAGCGUGAGGUCGGUGGUUCAAGUCCAUUUAGGCCCACCA